rnacentral:misc_RNA from 1 species
GAUGAAGAACGUAGUGAAAUGCGAUACGUAAUGUGAAUUGCAGAAUUCAGUGAAUCAUCGAGUCUUUGAACGCACAUUGCGCCCCCUGGUAUUCCGGGGGGCAUGCCUGUCCGAGCGUCAUUACUGCCCUCAAGCACGGCUUGUGUGUUGGGCCUCCGUCCUCCUCCCGGGGGACGGGCCCGAAAGGCAGCGGCGGCACCGCGUCCGGUCCUCGAGCGUAUGGGGCUUCGUCACCCGCUCUUGUAGGCCCGGCCGGCGCUUGCCGACACAUCAAUCUUUUUUCCAGGUUGACCUCGGAUCAGGUAGGGAUACCCGCUGAACUUAAGCAUAUCAAUAAGCGGAGGA